GGUAAAUUUUUAUAUCCUAAUUGAAAUUUGAAAUUAAAGAUGCUAAUGUACGAUUAGUGACUUCUAAUUAGUUUUGAUUAGAAUGUAACGUGUGAUAGUAUGUAAGACAUAAAUUAAGAUUCGAAUAUUUUUAUAGUCAAUGAUAAAUAUGGUAAUCGAUAUAUUUUUAGGUGCUAAUUGAGGUUUAAAAUGAAAUGGUAAUUUAUGUGCGUGUAAUAAUUUCUAGUUCAUUCUGAUUAGAAUAUUACGUCAAUGUUAACUUCCAAUUAAUUCGAAUCAGGACGUGGCAUUGGUGAUAAAAUGCAAGACCUUAACCAAUUCAAUGACAAAUAAGGAGGCAAAACGCUGAGACGAUGAUGGUCGCAAUAAGUGGCGGCAUAACGAACGGAACGGCAAUUUUCCGGACUGAUAAACUCGCAUUCUAAACGGAUGUGCUAUUAUUAGAUCACUGGAUUAUAGAAUUGAUAUUGGUUUCUCGUUCAAUUAACAUAGGAAAGUUUCUGACGAUUCAGACGGAGCAACGAGAUAUAUGUGGCGCGCAAUCCACUCGACGUUAAUAGGCGUGUAUAAUUUAUAAUGCGCAUUGUGUGCGUAAUUAGAGGAAGAAUGGGCAGAAAGAAAUGGAUAACCAAUGCACACGUGAAAGGAAAUGCUCGUUUCUCGUCACGACAGCGCAAUAGCCAACAGCUUGUAACUGAGCACCGGUUAAUUACGUUGUUCCGAGCAUCGAUCGAACGAGCUAUUGCCAUUCUUCCGCUUCUUAUCUAAA